rnacentral:rRNA from 1 species
GUCCACGCCGUAAACGAUGGGUGCUAGCCGUCGGAGAGCUUGCUCUUCGGUGGCGCAGCUAACGCUUUAAGCACCCCGCCUGGGGAGUACGAUCGCAAGAUUAAAACUCAAAGGAAUUGACGGGGGCCCCGCACAAGCGGUGGAGCAUGUGGUUUAAUUCGAAGCAACGCGAAGAACCUUACCAGGCCUUGACAUCCCGGUCGCGGCCCCUUGAAAGAGGGGCCUUCAGUUCGGCUGGACCGGUGACAGGUGCUGCAUGGCUGUCGU